UAACUCUGUGCUGCAGCCCACUAUCGCCUAACCGUUGCCCUUGCUGUAUUGUUUCUCGCCGGCGACCACCAGAGCCACGCCGUGUGCUUGCGCCUUCCAGCAAGUCAUGCAUGUUUGCCUAUGUGCUUCACUGGCUUGAUCAACACGUCAUCCGCACCUUGGUAUUAGUUCUUCUACAAUAUAUCAUUCUUUAUGCCUCCAUGCACUCAUUCAUGACAUUUAAUAUUCAGUCCAUCAAUCAUGAAUUAGCUUAUAAAAUUUCAUGUGCAGCAACGUAUUAUCUCUCCUUUACUUUGCCCCAUAAAUAAAUUCCUAAAGCUUUAAUCUCACGGUUUCCUUGUUUUAGCUAUAAUUCCAUCUCCUGAUGCUGCGUUAAGAUUGUAUCAACGUAGAUCAUGAGUUAGCCGCAAUAACCUCUCGUAUGUUAAUUUAUUAACUUGACUAGUGUGCAUGUAGCUGGUUUUUUUUUAAUUUUAAAAAGCGACACAAGUGUUACCCUCUAGUAUUUUUAUAAUGCGAUUAAUUAAUUACCUUUCUAUAUAAAAUCUUAGAAAAUUCAUAUCUCCUCCGUUUUAGCUUCGAUUUUCGUGAUCUUUACGUCCGCGAGAUCGUAGCGCUGCGUAGAAUCUUUUUAUGAACUCUCUAUACUGUUUUUAUAUGAUUGGUGUACUGUUCUAAUUGUAGUCUUGUUUGCUUCGUGUAUGUUGUCUCCGAUUGUUUGUGUGUUGAUGAUCAAUGAUCGAGUUUAGUCGGUAAACAAUUCAUGGUGAACAAGAGUACUUCAGUGAUCAAGAUCUGAGCCUUGGACAACUAGUGAGACCAGCAGGAUAAGCAAGAGCAAUUGGAUUAAGGCAAGUAUAGUAUUUGGGUUUUAUUUCUGUGACCAUGAUCCUGUGACU
rnacentral:lncRNA from 1 species